rnacentral:rRNA from 1 species
UACAGAGGUCUCAAGCGUUGUUCGGAAUCACUGGGCGUAAAGGGUGCGUAGGCCGCACGGUAAGUCAGAGGUGAAAUCCCGGAGCUCAACUUCGGAAUUGCCUCCGAUACUGCCGUGCUUGAGGACUGGAGAGGAGAUUGGAAUUCACAGUGGAGCAGUGAAAUGCGUAGAUAUUGUGAGGAACACUAGUAGCGAAGGCGAAUCUCUGGACAGUUCCUGACGCUGAGGCACGAAGGCCAGGGGAGCAAACGGG